rnacentral:tRNA from 1 species
GCCGAAAUAGCUCAGUUGGAGAGCGUUAGACUGAAGAUCCUAAAGGUCCUGGUUCAAUCCGGGUUUCGGCA